GACGAACGCUGGCGGCGUGCUUAACACAUGCAAGUCGAACGGAAAGGCCCCUUUGGGGGUACUCGAGUGGCGAACGGGUGAGUAACACGUGAGUAACCUGCCCUUGACUUCGGGAUAACUUCAGGAAACUGGGGCUAAUACCGGAUAGGAAUCCUUGCUGCAUGGUGGGGGUUGGAAAGCUUCGGCGGUUUUGGAUGGACUCGCGGCUUAUCAGCUUGUUGGUGGGGUAGUGGCUUACCAAGGCUUUGACGGGUAGCCGGCCUGAGAGGGCGACCGGCCACAUUGGGACUGAGAUACGGCCCAGACUCCUACGGGAGGCAGCAGUGGGGAAUAUUGCACAAUGGGCGGAAGCCUGAUGCAGCAACGCCGCGGGCGGGAUGACGGCCUUCGGGUUGUAAACCGCGUUCAGCAGGGGCGAAGCUUGUGGUGACGGUACCUGCAGAAGAAGCACCGGCUAACUACGUG
rnacentral:rRNA from 1 species